GGGAGGGGCAGUUUGACAGCAGAAACUACAUGAUACAUUUACUUAUUCAUAUUUUGCUUUCCACAUAAACUGCCUCUGUUUUCAUUGCAGGCUUUAAGAUGCUGCAAUCAUUCAUCAAGGCAACAGCUCAAAGCUGCCAAUUUGAAGACAAGACUUUGCUCAGUAGCAGAAGAAAAUGAAAAAUUCAAGGUCCCUCCAGCCUCAACAGGAUUUAACGUGGCACUUAUCAUCUUUGAACAAGGAUACUUUCCGGGAGUUGGCCUCAACAGAGUAGCUCAUGAAUUCCUUUUGCGUUCUGAGUCCUAUCUCUUCUGCAACACUUUGGAGGAGCUGACUGUGCUUUAGGCAGAUAAAAAAUAAAGAGACGUCUGAUCCAUGACGGAAGUAACAGGUUUAUGGUAUCACAUAUCAAGCAAAAAACCAAGAUGUUUGGAUGAGGGUCUCCUUUGGAU
rnacentral:lncRNA from 14 species